rnacentral:rRNA from 1 species
GACGAACGCUGGCGGCGUGCUUAACACAUGCAAGUCGAACGGAAAGGCCCUGCUUGCCGGGUACUCGAGUGGCGAACGGGUGAGUAACACGUGGGUGAUCUGCCCUGCACUUCGGGAUAAGCCUGGGGAACUGGGUCUAAUACCGGAUAGGAGCCAUUUUUAGUGUGAUGGUUGGAAGGUUUUUUCGGUGUAGGGUGAGCUCGCGGCCUAUCAGCUUGUUGGUGGGGUAAUGGCCUACCAAGGCGGCGGCGGGUAGCCGGCCUGAGAGGGUGGACGGCCACAUUGGGACUGGGAUACGGCCCAGGCCCCUACGGGGGGCAGCCGUGGGGAAUAUUGCACAAAGGGCGCGAGCCUGAUGCAGCGAAGCCGCGUGGGGGAUGACGGCCUUUGGGUUGGAAACUCCUUUCGCUCGGGACGAAGCUUUUUGUGACGGUACCUAGAUAAGAAGCACCGGCUAACUACGUG